rnacentral:rRNA from 1 species
GAUGAACGCUGGCGGCGUGCUUAAUACAUGCAAGUCGAGCGAACAGAUGAGGAGCUUGCUCCUCUGACGUUAGCGGCGGACGGGUGAGUAACACGUGGAUAACCUACCUAUAAGACUGGGAUAACUUCGGGAAACCGGAGCUAAUACCGGAUAAUAUAUUGAACCGCAUGGUUCAAUAGUGAAAGACGGUUUUGCUGUCACUUAUAGAUGGAUCCGCGCCGCAUUAGCUAGUUGGUAAGGUAACGGCUUACCAAGGCAACGAUGCGUAGCCGACCUGAGAGGGUGAUCGGCCACACUGGAACUGAGACACGGUCCAGACUCCUACGGGAGGCAGCAGUAGGGAAUCUUCCGCAAUGGGCGAAAGCCUGACGGAGCAACGCCGCGUGAGUGAUGAAGGUCUUCGGAUCGUAAAACUCUGUUAUUAGGGAAGAACAAAUGUGUAAGUAACUAUGCACGUCUUGACGGUACCUAAUCAGAAAGCCACGGCUAACUACGUG